UGGGGAAUAUUGCACAAUGGGCGCAAGCCUGAUGCAGCCAUGCCGCGUGUAUGAAGAAGGCCUUCGGGUUGUAAAGUACUUUCAGCGGGGAGGAAGGCGAUAAGGUUAAUAACCUUGUCGAUUGACGUUACCCGCAGAAGAAGCACCGGCUAACUCCGUGCCAGCAGCCGCGGUAAUACGGAGGGUGCAAGCGUUAAUCGGAAUUACUGGGCGUAAAGCGCAUGCAGGCGGUGUGUCAAGUCGGAUGUGAAAUCCCCGGGCUCAACCUGGGAACUGCAUUCGAAACUGGCAGGCUAGAGUCUUGUAGAGGGGGGUAGAAUUCCAGGUGUAGCGGUGAAAUGCGUAGAGAUCUGGAGGAAUACCGGUGGCGAAGGCGGCCCCCUGGACAAAGACUGACGCUCAGGUGCGAAAGCGUGGGGAGCAAACA
rnacentral:rRNA from 1 species